GAUGAAGCCGGAGCUUGCUCUGGUGGAUUAGUGGCGAACGGGUGAGUAACACGUGAGUAACCUGCCCCAGACUCUGGGAUAAGCGUUGGAAACGACGUCUAAUACCGGAUACGAGCUGCGAUCGCAUGAUCAGUAGCUGGAAAGAACUUCGGUCUGGGAUGGACUCGCGGCCUAUCAGCUAGUUGGUGAGGUAACGGCCCACCAAGGCGACGACGGGUAGCCGGCCUGAGAGGGUGACCGGCCACACUGGGACUGAGACACGGCCCAGACUCCUACGGGAGGCAGCAGUGGGGAAUAUUGCACAAUGGGCGCAAGCCUGAUGCAGCAACGCCGCGUGAGGGACGACGGCCUUCGGGUUGUAAACCUCUUUUAGCAGGGAAGAAGCGAAAGUGACGGUACCUGCAGAAAAAGCACCGGCUAACUACGUGCCAGCAGCCGCGGUAAUACGUAGGGUGCAAGCGUUGUCCGGAAUUAUUGGGCGUAAAGAGCUCGUAGGCGGUUUGUCGCGUCUGCUGUGAAAACGCGAGGCUCAACCUCGCGCCUGCAGUGGGUACGGGCAAACUAGAGUGCGGUAGGGGAGAUUGGAAUUCCUGGUGUAGCGGUGGAAUGCGCAGAUAUCAGGAGGAACACCGAUGGCGAAGGCAGAUCUCUGGGCCGUAACUGACGCUGAGGAGCGAAAGCAUGGGGAGCGAACAGGAUUAGAUACCCUGGUAGUCCAUGCCGUAAACGUUGGGAACUAGAUGUAGGGACCAUUCCACGGUUUCUGUGUCGCAGCUAACGCAUUAAGUUCCCCGCCUGGGGAGUACGGUCGCAAGACUAAAACUCAAAGGAAUUGACGGGGGCCCGCACAAGCGGCGGAGCAUGCGGAUUAAUUCGAUGCAACGCGAAGAACCUUACCAAGGCUUGACAUAUACGAGAACGGGCUAGAAAUAGUCAACUCUUUGGACACUCGUAAACAGGUGGUGCAUGGUGUC
rnacentral:rRNA from 1 species